rnacentral:ncRNA from 1 species
CCUUUGGAGAACUAAAAAACUUGAGUAGAUUUAUUUGAAAAAGAGUUCGUUGAAUUAGGAA